GACGAACGCUGGCGGCGUGCCUAAUACAUGCAAGUCGAACGCAGUUGCGAACGUGUGAGUAACGCGUCGGUCACUGCCUAUUAGAGGGGGAUGACUAUUGGAGACGAUAGCUCAUACCGCAUACUAGUAGAUUGACCUGCUUUGUAUUAGCUAGUAGGUAGGGUAAUGGCCUACCUAGGCAACGAUACAUAGCCGACCUGAGAGGGUGAGCGGACACACAUGGAAGGAGAGACGGCGCAGACUCCUACGGGAGGCAGCAGUGGGGAAACUUCGGCAAUAGGGGGAAACCCGAGCGGGCGACGCCGCGGGAGUGAAGAAAGUUUUCGGAGCGUAAAGCUCUGUUGUUAAGGAAGCGGUACUUAACCAGAAAGGGACGGCUAACUACGUGCCAGCAGCCGCGGUAAUAC
rnacentral:rRNA from 1 species